UGUUAAAUGCUCAUUGGCUACGGCCACACU
rnacentral:sRNA from 1 species